rnacentral:rRNA from 1 species
GACGAACGCUGGCGGCGUGCCUAAUACAUGCAAGUCGAGCGCAGGAAAUCAUCCGAACCCUUCGGGGGGACGUUGAUGGAAUGAGCGGCGGACGGGUGAGUAACACGUAAAGAACCUGCCCUCAGGUCUGGGAUAACCACGAGAAAUCGGGGCUAAUACCGGAUGGGUCAUCGGACCGCAUGGUCCGAGGAUGAAAGGCGCUUCGGCGUCGCCUGGGGAUGGCUUUGCGGUGCGUUAGCUAGUUGGUGGGGUAAUGGCCCACCAAGGCGACGAUGAGUAUCAGACCUCAGAGGGUGAUCGGCCACACUGGGACUGAGACACGGCCAAUAUUCUUACGGGAGGCAGCAGUAGUGAAUCUUCCACAAUGGACGAAAGUCUAAUGGAGCAACGCCGCGUGAACGAUGAAUGCCUUCGGGUCGUAAAGUUCUGUUGUAAGGGAAGAACAAGUGCCGCAGGCAAUGGCGGCACCUUGACGGUACCUUGCGAGAAAGCCACGGCUAACUACGUGCCAGCCGCCGCCGUAA